AGCGUCGGGCAGUAGCGCAGCGGGUUAAGCGCAGGUGGCGCAAAGCACAAGGUCGGCAUAAGGAUCCCGGUUCGAGCCCCUGGCUCCCCACCUGCAGGGGAGUCGCUUCACAAGCGGUGAAGCAGGUCUGCAGGUGUCUGUCUUUCUCUCCCCCUCUCUGUCUUCCCCUCCUCUCUCCAUUUCUCUCUGUCCUAUCUAACAACGACAACAUCAAUAACUAAUAACUACAACAAUAACGAAAAACAAGGACAACAAAAGAGAAAAUUAAAAAAAUAAAUAAAUAAAAAUAAAUAAUAAAAGAAAGAAACCUAACUCGGGGGGAGUCACCUGGACGUGAGAUAAUUGGGCUCACUCCAGGGAAUUUUAAAAAUAUGUACAUGUCAGGAGUCGGGCAGUAGCACAGCAGGUUAAGUGCAUGUGGCGCAAAGCACAAGGACUGGCAUAAGGAUCCCAGUUCGAGCCCCCGGCUCCCCACCUGCAGGGAGUUGCUUCACAGGCGGUGAAGCAGGUCUGCAGGUGUCUGUCUCUCUCCCCCUCUCUGUCUUCCCCUCCUCUCUCCAUUUUUCUGUCCUAUCCAACAACGACGACUACAACAACAAUAAC